CCUCUAAACGGUUCAAUUGCAAAUUGCAAUUAGGGUUUUCAAGGCUAACGCCAUCGUUACGUAGCCGUUCUCAUCACUCUCUGUUCUUACAUUUAAAAAGUUUUCUCCCCCUUCUUAUCUAUAAUCAAUUCAUGUUUCUCUUCUGGACUUUUGAAAAUUUUGUCUUACUCUGAUAAUGGGCGGUUUUAGGGUUAAAAGGUGGAUGCGGCGAGAUGGAUGAUUUAGAAAAUCGAAAUCUCGCUUUGCGAUUGUUCGAUGAAGGUAUCUGGUUGGUGUUUUCCCGUUGAUCGACUCUUCAGGUGGGUGUGAAGGAAGAAGGGGAUGAUCCUCGUUCGCAUCGUAAAUUGGAACUACUGACCUCCCAAAUUUCCACAUGGUUUACUGAUACCAAAGAGCCAUUUAUGAAAUCGGUGGUUUAGAACGUAUUCUCGGGGAUGGUUUGUUAUCUCUAGAUGUUCUGGCUCUUGAUGGCAGCAUUAAAGAGGUAGAUGAAAAAAAUUUACUGUCAUGCAUGCGGAAUGUUUGGAGGGUGAUUUUAGAAGUAUUGAAAGAUUAAGGCAAUCCCGUCCACCACGAGUUGUUCAUACUCGUGUUAGUCAGGAUGAUGUUAGAAGUGGAAGAGAUGUGAGGAAGAGGAUGUUGGUGGAUGCUGAAGAAGACCAUUCAAACUCUUCAACUUUGCCAGAGGCUGCAGCUGAAACUGAAGAUGGAUGGGUUCGGGUCUGACAUCGACGUGUCGAUAUCCGCUCUUAAUCUAUAUCUUUAAUGUCUUUUCUUAUUCCUGCGCAUCAACCAGCAAUUUCUGUUUGGUGCUAAAAUAGGUCAACUAUCAGAAUUCAGCUUAGCAUUAUCGUAUGCCCUAAUUUAAAUUAUUGAUUUUUUCCCUCAUUUGUUUUGCUUUUACCGGAUUUCUUUCAACCAAGGAAUGACAAGAAACCUAUAUUACAUGGGAAUAUUUUGAAUUGGAGAGUGGAUAUUUAAGGUUUAAAUACUAUUUGUAUUUGGUUUUGGUUCA